UAGGGAAUCUUCGGCAAUGGACGAAAGUCUGACCGAGCAACGCCGCGUGAGUGAAGAAGGUUUUCGGAUCGUAAAACUCUGUUGGUAGAGAAGAACGUUGGUGAGAGUGGAAAGCUCAUCAAGUGACGGUAACUACCCAGAAAGGGACGGCUAACUACGUGCCAGCAGCCGCGGUAAUACGUAGGUCCCGAGCGUUGUCCGGAUUUAUUGGGCGUAAAGCGAGCGCAGGUGGUUUAUUAAGUCUGGUGUAAAAGGCAGUGGCUCAACCAUUGUAUGCAUUGGAAACUGGUAGACUUGAGUGCAGGAGAGGAGAGUGGAAUUCCAUGUGUAGCGGUGAAAUGCGUAGAUAUAUGGAGGAACACCGGUGGCGAAAGCGGCUCUCUGGCCUGUAACUGACACUGAGGCUCGAAAGCGUGGGGAGCAAACAGGAUUAGAUACCCUGGUAGUCCACGCCGUAAACGAUGAGUGCUAGAUGUAGGGAGCUAUAAGUUCUCUGUAUCGCAGCUAGCGCAAUAAGCACUCCGCCUGGGGGAGUACGACCGCAAGGUUGAAACUCUAAAGUGAAUUGAC
rnacentral:rRNA from 1 species